rnacentral:rRNA from 2 species
ACGGGUGAGUAAUGCCUAGGAAUCUGCCUGGUAGUGGGGGAUAACGCUCGGAAACGGACGCUAAUACCGCAUACGUCCUACGGGAGAAAGCAGGGGACCUUCGGGCCUUGCGCUAUCAGAUGAGCCUAGGUCGGAUUAGCUAGUUGGUGAGGUAAUGGCUCACCAAGGCGACGAUCCGUAACUGGUCUGAGAGGAUGAUCAGUCACACUGGAACUGAGACACGGUCCAGACUCCUACGGGAGGCAGCAGUGGGGAAUAUUGGACAAUGGGCGAAAGCCUGAUCCAGCCAUGCCGCGUGUGUGAAGAAGGUCUUCGGAUUGUAAAGCACUUUAAGUUGGGAGGAAGGGCAUUAACCUAAUACGUUAGUGUUUUGACGUUACCGACAGAAUAAGCACCGGCUAACUCUGUGCCAGCAGCCGCGGUAAUACAGAGGGUGCAAGCGUUAAUCGGAAUUACUGGGCGUAAAGCGCGCGUAGGUGGUUUGUUAAGUUGGAUGUGAAAUCCCCGGGCUCAACCUGGGAACUGCAUUCAAAACUGACAAGCUAGAGUAUGGUAGAGGGUGGUGGAAUUUCCUGUGUAGCG